rnacentral:rRNA from 1 species
GACGAACGCUGGCGGCGUGCCUAAUACAUGCAAGUAGAACGCUGAAGGAGGAGCUUGCUUCUCUGGAUGAGUUGCGAACGGGUGAGUAACGCGUAGGUAACCUGCCUGGUAGCGGGGGAUAACUAUUGGAAACGAUAGCUAAUACCGCAUAAUAGCAGUUGUUGCAUGACAACUGUUUGAAAGGUGCAAUUGCACCACUACCAGAUGGACCUGCGUUGUAUUAGCUAGUUGGUGGGGUAACGGCUCACCAAGGCGACGAUACAUAGCCGACCUGAGAGGGUGAUCGGCCACACUGGGACUGAGACACGGCCCAGACUCCUACGGGAGGCAGCAGUAGGGAAUCUUCGGCAAUGGACGGAAGUCUGACCGAGCAACGCCGCAUGAGUGAAGAAGGUUUUCGGAUCGUAAAGCUCUGUUGUAAGAGAAGAACGAGUGUGAGAGUGGAAAGUUCACACUGUGACGGUAUCUUACCAGAAAGGGACGGCUAACUACGUG